AGUGGCGGACGGGUGAGUAACGCGUGAGAAUCUGCCUUGGGGUCGGGGACAACCACUGGAAACGGUGGCUAAUACCGGAUAAGCCGAUUGGUGAAAGAUUUAUUGCCCGAAGAGGAGCUCGCGUCUGAUUAGCUAGUUGGUGAGGUAAGAGCUCACCAAGGCAGCGAUCAGUAGCUGGUCUGAGAGGACGAUCAGCCACACUGGGAGUGAGACACGGCCCAGACUCCUACGGGAGGCAGCAGUGGGGAAUUUUCCGCAAUGGGCGAAAGCCUGACGGAGCAAGACCGCGUGAGGGAGGAAGGCUCUUGGGUUGUAAACCUCUUUUCUCAGGGAAGAAGCUCUGACGGUACCUGAGGAAUCAGCCUCGGCUAACUCCGUGCCAGCAGCCGCGGUAAUACGGAGGAGGCAAGCGUUAUCCGGAAUUAUUGGGCGUAAAGCGUCCGCAGGUGGCGAUUCAAGUCUGCUGUCAAAGCACGGGGCUUAACUCCGUAAAGGCAGUGGAAACUGAAUAGCUAGAGUGCCGUAGGGGUAGAGGGAAUUCCCGGUGUAGCGGUGAAAUGCGUAGAGAUCGGGAAGAACAUCGGUGGCGAAAGCGCUCUACUGGACGGCAACUGACACUCAGGGACGAAAGCUAGGGGAGCGAAUGGGAUUAGAUACCCC
rnacentral:rRNA from 1 species